rnacentral:rRNA from 1 species
UACGUAGGGUGCAAGCGUUAAUCGGAAUUACUGGGCGUAAAGCGCACGUAGUCGGCUUUGCAAGUCGGGUGUGAAAUCCCCGGGCUCAACCUGGGAACUGCAUCCGAGACUGCAUUGCUAGAGUAUGGGGAGAGGGAAGCGGAAUUUCUGGUGUAGCAGUGAAAUGCGUAGAUAUCAGAAGGAACAUCAGUGGCGAAGGCGGCUUCCUGGACCAAUACUGACGAUCAGGUGCGAAAGCGUGGGGGAGCAAACAGG